rnacentral:rRNA from 1 species
UACAGAGGGUGCGAGCGUUAAUCGGAAUUACUGGGCGUAAAGCGCACGUAGGUGGCGACGUAAGUCGGGUGUGAAAGCCCCGGGCUCAACCUGGGAAUUGCAUUCGAGACUGCAUUGCUGGAGUACGGAAGAGGAAGGCGGAAUUCCCGGUGUAGCGGUGAAAUGCGUAGAUAUCGAGAGGAACACCAAUUGCGAAGGCAGCUCGCUGGGACGUAACUGACGCUGAGACGCGAAAGCGUGGGGAGCAAACAGG